rnacentral:rRNA from 1 species
AGAGUUUGAUCCUGGCUCAGGAUGAACGCUGGCGGCGUGCUUAACACAUGCAAGUCGAACGAAGUCUUUAGGGACUUAGUGGCGGACGGGUGAGUAACGCGUGAGAAUCUGCCUUCAGGACGGGGACAACAACUGGAAACGGUUGCUAAUACCCGAUAUGCCGCGAGGUGAAAUGUUUUUUCGCCUGAAGAUGAGCUCGCGUCCGAUUAGCUAGUAGGUGAGGUAAGAGCUCACCUAGGCGGUGAUCGGUAGCUGGUCUGAGAGGAUGAGCAGCCACACUGGGACUGAGACACGGCCCAGACUCCUACGGGAGGCAGCAGUGGGGAAUUUUCCGCAAUGGGCGAAAGCCUGACGGAGCAACGCCGCGUGAGGGAAGAAGGUCUUUGGAUUGUAAACCUCUUUUCUCAGGGAAGAAGUCAGUGACGGUACCUGAGGAAUCAGCAUCGGCUAACUCCGUGCCAGCAGCCGCGGUAAUACGGGGGUUGCAAGCGUUAUCCGGAAUUAUUGGGCGUAAAGCGUUCGUAGGCGGUUUUAUAAGUCUGCUGUCAAAGUGCGGAGCUCAACUCCGUAAGAGCAGUGGAAACUGUGAGACUAGAGUGUGGUAGGGGUAGAGGGAAUUCCCAGUGUAGCGGUGAAAUGCGUAGAUAUUGGGAAGAACACCGGUGGCGAAAGCUCUCUACUGGACCAUAACUGACGCUGAGGGACGAAAGCUAGGGGAGCGAAAGGGAUUAGAUACCCCUGUAGUCCUAGCCGUAAACGAUGAACACUAGGUGUUGUCUGUGUCACCCGGACAGUGCCUAAGCAAACGCGUUAAGUGUUCCGCCUGGGGAGUACGCACGCAAGUGUGAAACUCAAAGGAAUUGACGGGGGCCCGCACAAGCGGUGGAGUAUGUGGUUUAAUUCGAUGCAACGCGAAGAACCUUACCAAGGCUUGACAUGCCUCGAAUCCUUCAGAGAUGAGGGAGUGCCUACGGGAGCGAGGACACAGGUGGUGCAUGGCUGUCGUCAGCCCGUGUCGUGAGAUGUUGGGUUAAGUCCCGCAACGAGCGCAACCCUCGUUUUUAGUUGCCAGCAUUAAGUUGGGCACUCUAGAGAGACUGCCGGUGAUAAACCGGAGGAAGGUGGGGACGACGUCAAGUCAUCAUGCCCCUUAUGUCUUGGGCUACACACGUACUACAAUGGUCGGGACAACGGGCAGCCAACUCGCGAGAGUGCGCUAAUCUCUUAAACCCGGCCUCAGUUCAGAUUGCAGGCUGCAACUCGCCUGCAUGAAGGAGGAAUCGCUAGUAAUCGCAGGUCAGCAUACUGCGGUGAAUCCGUUCCCGGGCCUUGUACACACCGCCCGUCACACCAUGGAAGUUGGCCACGCCCGAAGUCGUUACUCUAACCUUUCGAGGGGGAGGGCGCCGAAGGCAGGGCUGAUGACUGGGGUGAAGUCGUAACAAGGUA